AUGGACGAAAGUCUGACGGAGCAACGCCGCGUGAGUGAAGAAGGCCUUCGGGUUGUAAAGCUCUGUCUUUGGGGACGAAUGUGAUCAUGGUAAAUAAUCAUGAUUAAUGACGGUACCUAAGGAGGAAGCCACGGCUAACUACGUGCCAGCAGCCGCGGUAAUACGUAGGUGGCAAGCGUUGUCCGGAAUUAUUGGGCGUAAAGCGCGCGCAGGCGGGAUAUCAAGUCUAUCUUAAAAGUUCGGGGCUCAACCCCGUGAUGGGAUGGAAACUGGUAUUCUUGAGUGUCGGAGAGGAAAGUGGAAUUCCCAGUGUAGCGGUGAAAUGCGUAGAUAUUGGGAGGAACACCAGUGGCGAAGGCGACUUUCUGGACGAUGUCUGACGCUGAGGCGCGAAAGCCAGGGGAGUGAACGGGAUUAGAUACCCCGGUAAUCCUGGCCGUAAACGAUGGGUACUAGGUGUAGAGGGUAUCGACCCCUUCUGUGCCGGAGUUAACGCAAUAAGUACCCCGCCUGGGGAGUAC
rnacentral:rRNA from 1 species